AUGCUUGUCGACAUUGUUGUUGAUCUGUUUGGUGACGUGGGGGUUUUCCUCACACCAAACCAUGCAGCCGCUGUAUUUGCCUGGAAAUCUCCAGGCGUUCCUCACGCAGAACUCGGAGCACGUCAUCUCACGCGUCACGCGCCGCGCCUCCUCCGCUGCCGCCUGAGCCAGGACGGCGGCGGCUACUCUUGCUUCCCCAAGUUGGACGUGGACCGCGGUGGCCUCUUGUCGACGCUUCUGGUUGAGGAGGCGGCCUUGACACUUUCGCAUGCAGGCAUCGUGGUCCUUGCUGUUAUGACAGACCUUGAAGCAGUCAGGGACCACACCUGCCACCGUCAUCGCCCCAAGCUGGACCUCGACGGCGGCAGCGUCCUGGCGAUGCUUGUCAUUGAUGAGACGGGCAGGCUCGCUGUCCCUGCCCGCCGCCGUGGCCAGGAGGAGCCCGACGACGAGCAGGCCUACGCACCACGCAACGCUACGCUUGUUGGAACCCAUCCCCAUGACCACCAUUGCUUGGUAGCUAUACUAGUACUGCUGGCUAUGAACAACUUAACAACACUGUUUUGGUAUUUAUAG
rnacentral:rRNA from 1 species